rnacentral:miRNA from 14 species
CGCCACUUUCCACCGCGGUGAUA